rnacentral:sRNA from 1 species
UUAAAGCUGCGUUAGGGGUUGCAGCGGAAAACCUUUUUUUGAUUUUUCGACAAAAAAAGUUUGAAACGAAAAACCCGACCCGCC